UGGGGAAUAUUGGACAAUGGGCGCAAGCCUGAUCCAGCCAUGCCGCGUGAGUGAUGAAGGCCCUAGGGUUGUAAAGCUCUUUCACCGGUGAAGAUAAUGACGGUAACCGGAGAAGAAGCCCCGGCUAACUUCGUGCCAGCAGCCGCGGUAAUACGAAGGGGGCUAGCGUUGUUCGGAUUUACUGGGCGUAAAGCGCACGUAGGCGGACUAUUAAGUCAGGGGUGAAAUCCCGGGGCUCAACCCCGGAACUGCCUUUGAUACUGGUAGUCUUGAGUUCGAGAGAUGUGAGUGGAAUUCCGAGUGUAGAGGUGAAAUUCGUAGAUAUUCGGAGGAACACCAGUGGCGAAGGCGGCUCACUGGCUCGAUACUGACGCUGAGGUGCGAAAGCGUGGGGAGCAAACAGG
rnacentral:rRNA from 1 species